rnacentral:rRNA from 1 species
AUGGGAAGGGCUUGGGGGGCACUCAAGGGCAGGAGGACACCACCGUGGGGACCGCCUCCAGGAACGCUGGCUGCGGGCGGCAGCUGGUUGUUGGCGGGCGCAGGCGAGAGAGGGGGAACGCUGCCGCGAGAGCUGUUUCCAAGAGCACCGGCUGCAGGCAGCAUCUUGCUGGUGGCUGAGGCGGGCGGCCGGGGGGAAACAACUCCCUGGUUGCUGGUAGGGGCAGGUCAGAGCGGAGGAACGCCAUCCUUGGAGUUGGACCCCGUCACCGUCUUGUUCGGAGCUGAGGAGGGCGGCCGCUGGGGAACGACACCCCGAUUGCUGGCAGGGGUGCCGGACGGGGACAUGCUGGCUGAGGCGGGCGGCUGCAAGGGAACGCCUCCCUGGCCUCCAAGAGCGCUGGCGGCAGGCAGCGGAUUGACGAUUUGGGGGUGGGGCCAGACGGUGGAGCGCGAGGCGGCCGGUUGCUGCCUGCGGCGGGUUCUGGACGGCGGUGGGGGCGGGCGGCGGCGGGUUCGGGACGGCGGUGGGGGCGUACGGGGUCGUGCGAGCCUGAUAGACCAUGUGGCCGCGGCCGCGGCCGCUGCCGCGACUGCGAUUCAUGAUGGAAACCUAGAUCUCUCUCUUUCGUCGGCGUGGCUGGUAUAG